rnacentral:tRNA from 1 species
ACCCUCAAUGGCCUGGUAACCGGGCUGUUGCUGUUCAUGCUGGCCAGCGGAUUGACGCUGAUCUUUUCGAUGAUGGGGGUGC